rnacentral:rRNA from 1 species
ACGAACGCUGGCGGCGUGCUUAACACAUGCAAGUCGAACGGAAAGGCCCUGCUUUUGUGGGGUGCUCGAGUGGCGAACGGGUGAGUAACACGUGAGUAACCUGCCCUUGACUUUGGGAUAACUUCAGGAAACUGGGGCUAAUACCGGAUAGGAGCUCCUGCUGCAUGGUGGGGGUUGGAAAGUUUCGGCGGUUGGGGAUGGACUCGCGGCUUAUCAGCUUGUUGGUGGGGUAGUGGCUUACCAAGGCUUUGACGGGUAGCCGGCCUGAGAGGGUGACCGGCCACAUUGGGACUGAGAUACGGCCCAGACUCCUACGGGAGGCAGCAGUGGGGAAUAUUGCACAAUGGGCGGAAGCCUGAUGCAGCAACGCCGCGUGCGGGAUGACGGCCUUCGGGUUGUAAACCGCUUUCGCCUGUGACGAAGCGUGAGUGACGGUAAUGGGUAAAGAAGCACCGGCUAACUACGUGCCAGCAGCCGCGGUGAUACGUAGGGUGCGAGCGUUGUCCGGAUUUAUUGGGCGUAAAGGGCUCGUAGGUGGUUGAUCGCGUCGGAAGUGUAAUCUUGGGGCUUAACCCUGAGCGUGCUUUCGAUACGGGUUGACUUGAGGAAGGUAGGGGAGAAUGGAAUUCCUGGUGGAGCGGUGGAAUGCGCAGAUAUCAGGAGGAACACCAGUGGCGAAGGCGGUUCUCUGGGCCUUUCCUGACGCUGAGGAGCGAAAGCGUGGGGAGCGAACAGGCUUAGAUACCCUGGUAGUCCACGCUGUAAACGGUGGGUACUAGGUGUGGGGUCCAUUCCACGGGUUCCGUGCCGUAGCUAACGCUUUAAGUACCCCGCCUGGGGAGUACGGCCGCAAGGCUAAAACUCAAAGGAAUUGACGGGGCCCCGCACAAGCGGCGGAGCAUGCGGAUUAAUUCGAUGCAACGCGUAGAACCUUACCUGGGUUUGACAUGGAUCGGGAGUGCUCAGAGAUGGGUGUGCCUCUUUUGGGGUCGGUUCACAGGUGGUGCAUGGCUGUCGUCAGCUCGUGUCGUGAGAUGUUGGGUUAAGUCCCGCAACGAGCGCAACCCUUGUUCACUGUUGCCAGCACGUUAUGGUGGGGACUCAGUGGAGACCGCCGGGGUCAACUCGGAGGAAGGUGGGGAUGACGUCAAGUCAUCAUGCCCCUUAUGUCCAGGGCUUCACGCAUGCUACAAUGGCUGGUACAGAGAGUGGCGAGCCUGUGAGGGUGAGCGAAUCUCGGAAAGCCGGUCUCAGUUCGGAUUGGGGUCUGCAACUCGACCUCAUGAAGUCGGAGUCGCUAGUAAUCGCAGAUCAGCAACGCUGCGGUGAAUACGUUCCCGGGGCUUGUACACACCGCCCGUCAAGUCAUGAAAGUUGGUAACACCCGAAGCCGGUGGCCUAACCGUUGUGGGGGAGCCGUCGAAGGUGGGACCG